rnacentral:rRNA from 1 species
GAUGAACGCUGGCGGCGUGCCUAAUACAUGCAAGUCGAGCGAACCGACGAGGAGCUUGCUCCUCUGACGUUAGCGGCGGACGGGUGAGUAACACGUGGAUAACCUACCUAUAAGACUGGGAUAACUUCGGGAAACCGGAGCUAAUACCGGAUAAUAUAUUGAACCGCAUGGUUCAAUAGUGAAAGACGGUUUUGCUGUCAGUUAUAGAUGGAUCCGCGCCGCAUUAGCUAGUUGGUAAGGUAACGGCUUACCAAGGCAGCGAUGCGUAGCCGACCUGAAAGGGUGGUCCCCCACACUGGAUCAGAGACACAGUCGAGACACCGACGGUGGGCAGCAGUACAGACUCUUCCGCAAUGGGGGAAUGCCUGACGUAGCAACGCCGCGUGAGUGAUGAAGGUCUUCUGAUCGGAAAGCUCUGUUAUUCGGGAGGAACAAAUGUGUAAGUAACUAUGCUCAUCAUGACGGUACCGAGUCAGAAAGCCACGGCUAACUACGUG